rnacentral:rRNA from 1 species
UACGUAGGGGGCAAGCGUUGUCCGGAUUUAUUGGGCGUAAAGAGCGUGUAGGCGGCUUUGCAAGUCCGUUGUGAAAACUCGAGGCUCAACCUCGAGACGCCGGUGGAAACUGCAAAGCUAGAGUCCGGAAGAGGAGAGUGGAAUUCCUGGUGUAGAGGUGAAAUUCGUAGAUAUUCGGAAGAACACCAGUGGCGAAGGCGACUCACUGGACACGUAUUGACGCUGAGGUGCGAAAGCGUGGGGAGCAAACAGG